GGCUCUACGCUGAGAGCAGAGAGCUCGAUAUGGGGCUCGCACUCACCGACUGUGGGAUCAUGACUUGAACUCAAGUCAGACGCUCAAGCGACUGAGCCCCCGGGUGUCUCAAAGUAUUUCUUAUUAAGAACAAAUGCAAGAUACCUCCGGAACACACAGAACGGACAGCUUAUGUCUCCCAUUGAUACUAAUAUCCACAGCCUGCUAUGUUCCCACUCCUUCCUGACGCUCUAACCCAUCACACCUCUGAUACAACAGUAUCUGCGCUUUCUGAAAGGAACUGUGCUCUCUCAGGCCUCAGAAUCUUUGUCUAUGCUGUUUGCGCUAAUCAGAAAACGCACCCUCGUCUUGUCAACAAAUAUUUUCACCUGACCUUUUGGAUGAACCUGGACCCUGCAUCUUGUUAUUGAAAUGCUCUAUACCUGGGCAACAACACAAAUGAGUAAUUACCUUGAUGUUUUGGAUCCUGAAAAUUUCCAUGUGCGAAAAGGAGAAGCAAACGUAAGGUGGAUGAGUCUGAAAUAUAACCCUAUGUACUCCUGAAUUUGAAUUAGAAGCAUCACUAUGAACCCAUAAUUUUUCUUUUUUAAAAAUGUAGACCUACGUCUUCGCUCCGACCACUGGAAAAGGCCCCAAACAAGGACAACCUGUGGCACCAGAUUGUCAUCACCCAAUAGGAUUUUUCAUUAAGAGAAAACCGGGCUGCCAGGUGAAGUGACCGAUUCCGGGACUGAAAAUGUACAAGAUAAGCCUGGAACGUAACGUCACAUGGAAACAAAUGAGCUACUGGAAACGGAGGGCAGCUCAAAGCCCCCCCCCCCCCCCGGAACAGAGAAGGAUGAUUUUAACAUCACUAAGAAUCUCCUGCAAUGGAAUAAAAUACAUCUGGUAUGUUCAAUUCCAGGCGUUCGUGAAAAUAAAACGAAAUGUUCAAUUGUGGGAAAUGCCAGCUCAUACAUGAAGAUUAACAGAGGGAACCAGAGGACCGUCGUUUGGGAACUUCUGACAAGAAGGAGCUAAGCAACGGUACUCACGGCUGGUACUACAACCAACCAGAGGAGCUGGGCCUUCUGGUGGGAUUGGAACACAACGCUGCAUGGCAGACAGUGUUGGCCCACAUCAAACCUGAAUCUCAUCGCGCUUACAGUCCUCACUGCCAGCUCCUAGGACAUACAGGGGGAGGGGACUACGUUAGGUGAGAUCCAAGGGAAGAGUCCACAAAAUCUCUGCAGUGUGAAACUCUACAGGUUACGCAAUCUAGUUUCUCCCACAAAUAAAUAAGUUACAAGGGAACAGAGAUUAAAAGAGACCUUCUGACCUUGUCCCUCACGUAGUUUUCCUUAUUUCAGCAAAUGACAACUCAGUUCUUCCAGUUGCUCGGGACAGGAGCCUCAGAGUUCCCGUUACAUCCCCCACCCCCCUUCUUCCACAGGCAUCAUCCAACCUCUCCAUGGAUCCUGUCUGCUCUGCCUUCUACAUUUGAGAUCUGGGUGCACCUGACCUCUACCUCCCCACCGGUUCUGGUCAAAGCCCCCACCUCCUGCUGACCACAUCACACAAUCCCUUCCACCCCUCCCCUGCUUCCAGCCCUGCACUCUCACACCUACCCUCCACACAGAAGCCACGCUGAGCCUUUCGAAAAUACGGCAAACUCGGAUACUCUGCUCAAAGCCCUCACAUGGCCCGGGGGGGCGGUUUGCUCAGAGUAAAAGACUAGUUGUUGAAACAGCCAGAGGCUCUCCGCGACCCAGCUCUACCUUGCACUGUUCCCUCCUGCUCUCCUAAUGUCCCGCUUGUUCCGGGGUGUUCCAGCCACACCGAGCUCCUUGCAUCCCUCAAGCCUGCCGGCCAGCCCAUCUUGGAGCCCGUGCUCUAGCUCUUUCCUUAGAUAGCGGCAGGGGUCACCCCUCCUCCUCCUGAGGUCUGCCCUGAAGCCAACUUCUCCUUUGCUGAGCCCCUCCUCCACCACAGCUGCUUCCUAUCUCCUUGUCCGGCUUUGU